rnacentral:rRNA from 1 species
GAAUUCGCCCUUAGAGUUUGAUUCUGGCUCAGGACGAACGCUGGCGGCGUGCCUAACACAUGCAAGUCGAACGGAAGUAUUGCUUCGGUGAUACUUUAGUGGCGAACGGGUGAGUAACGCGUGAGAAACCUGCCUUUCAGUGGGGGACAACAGUUGGAAACGACUGCUAAUACCGCAUAAUGUCAUUUGGGGGCAUCCCUGGAUGACCAAAGAUUUAUUGCUGAAAGAUGGUCUCGCGUCUGAUUAGCUAGAUGGCGGGGUAACGGCCCACCAUGGCGACGAUCAGUAGCCGGUCUGAGAGGAUGAACGGCCACAUUGGGACUGAGAUACGGCCCAGACUCCUACGGGAGGCAGCAGUGGGGAAUAUUGGGCAAUGGGGGAAACCCUGACCCAGCAACGCCGCGUGAAGGAAGAAGGCCUUCGGGUUGUAAACUUCUUUUACCAGGGACGAAGAACGUGACGGUACCUGGAGAAAAAGCAACGGCUAACUACGUGCCAGCAGCCGCGGUAAUACGUAGGUUGCAAGCGUUGUCCGGAUUUACUGGGUGUAAAGGGCGUGUAGGCGGAGCUGCAAGUCAGAUGUGAAAUCCCGGGGCUCAACCCCGGAACUGCAUUUGAAACUGUAGCCCUUGAGUAUCGGAGAGGCAAGCGGAAUUCCUAGUGUAGCGGUGAAAUGCGUAGAUAUUAGGAGGAACACCAGUGGCGAAGGCGGCUUUCUGGACUGUAACUGACACUGAGGCACGAAAGUGUGGGGAGCAAACAGGAUUAGAUACCCUGGUAGUCCACACCGUAAACGAUGAGCACUAGGUGUCGGGGUCGAAGGACUUCGGUGCCGCAGUUAACGCAUUAAGUGCUCCGCCUGGGGAGUACGUACGCAAGUAUGAAACUCAAAGGAAUUGACGGGGACCCGCACAAGCAGCGGAGCAUGUGGUUUAAUUCGAAGCAACGCGAAGAACCUUACCAGGACUUGACAUCCUUCUGAAAACCCCUUAAUCGGGGUCCUCCUUCGGGACAGAAGUGACAGGUGGUGCAUGGUUGUCGUCAGCUCGUGUCGUGAGAUGUUGGGUUAAGUCCCGCAACGAGCGCAACCCUUGUCUUCAGUUACCAGCAUGUAAUGAUGGGAACUCUGGAGAGACUGCCGGUGAUAAAUCGGAGGAAGGUGGGGACGACGUCAAAUCAUCAUGCCCUUUAUGUCCUGGGCUACACACGUACUACAAUGGCUAUAACAAAGAGAAGCGAAACAGCGAUGUGGAGCAAAACUCAAAAAAGUAGUCUCAGUUCGGAUUGUAGGCUGAAAUUCGCCUACAUGAAGCUGGAAUUGCUAGUAAUGGCAGGUCAGCAUACUGCCGUGAAUACGAUCCCGGGCCUUGCACACACCGCCCGUCA